rnacentral:rRNA from 1 species
AUUGAACGCUGGCGGCAGGCCUAACACAUGCAAGUCGAGCGAGAGGCGGACGGGGGAGUAAUGUCUGGGGAACUGCCUGAUGGAGGGGGAUAACUACUGGAGAAGGUGGCUAAUACCGCAUACCCUCAGAUGUGCCCAGAUGGGAUUAGCUAGUAGGUGGGGGAAUGGCUCACCUAGGGGACGAGCCCUAGCUGGUCUGAGAGGGUGACCAGCCACACUGGAACUGAGACACGGUCCAGACUCCUACGGGAGGCAGCAGUGGGGAAUAUUGCACAAUGGGCGCAAGCCUGAUGCAGCCAUGCCGCGUGUGUGAAGAAGGCCUUCGGGUUGUAAAGCACUUUCAGCGGGGAGGCGUUACCCGCAGAAGAAGCACCGGCUAACUCCGUGCCAGCCGCCGCGGUAAUAC